rnacentral:rRNA from 1 species
AUACGGAGGGUGCAAGCGUUAAUCGGAAUUACUGGGCGUAAAGCGUACGUAGGCGGUUCGUUAAGUUAGAUGUGAAAGCCCCGGGCUUAACCUGGGAACUGCAUUUAAAACUGGCGGACUAGAGUUGAGUAGAGGGGAGUGGAAUUUCAGGUGUAGCGGUGAAAUGCGUAGAGAUCUGAAGGAACACCAGUGGCGAAGGCGACUCCCUGGACUCGAACUGACGCUGAGGUACGAAAGCGUGGGUAGCAAACGGGAUUAGAAACCCCGGUAGUCC